UACAGAGGAGCCAAGCGUUGUCCGGACUGACUGGGCGUAAAGCGCACGCAGGCGGCGCUGCGCGUGGGGUGUGAAAGCUCUUGGCUUAACUGAGAGAGGCCAUCCCAUACGGCAGUGCUCGAGCGGUACAGAGGUCCGCGGAAUUGCCGGUGUAGUGGUGAAAUGCGUAGAGAUCGGCAGGAACACCCAGGGGGAAACCAGCGGACUGGGCAUCAGCUGACGCUCAGGUGCGACAGCGUGGGGAGCGAACCGG
rnacentral:rRNA from 1 species